rfam:Bacillus halodurans C-125 DNA, complete genome.
CAAUGACUACAACCGCACAGACUAGGUUUAUAAAUGGAUCUCCCUACCUAGAAUGGCGAGUCUGAGUAUAUGA